rnacentral:tRNA from 1 species
GCGCCCUUAGUUCAACGGAUAGAACGCCGGUCUUCGGAACCGAGAAUGGGGGUUCGAUUCCCUCAGGGCGCA